UUUCUCGUUUGCACGUCUCGUAAGAGCUGAUGCAACUUGACGUACGAUGUACGAUCUGUAAUGAAACGGUUUUCUUUUCGUCGAAUGCACGAGCUCGAAACUCCAAACCCCUGAUCCGAUCUACUACGGGUCUGACCACUCUGACCUUGGCGCGCGCGCGCAAAGAAAAUAUCGAAAUGGCGAGCGAGGAAAUAAUCGAAGCUAAUAAAAAGCCGCAACCCGUGUUUAAAAAUCGCUCCUUUCAACAGAAAUUUCGACAGACUAGCACCACUGGGAAAAAACGUACUUGGCGGUCAUUGAAACAAGUUUUGGCUCAGGAACGUUCGUUACCAUGGCCAGCGACAGUAAAACACUAUAGUUCCAUCAAUGCACCACCAAGCUUCAAACCUGCAAAAAAGUACUCUGAUAUUUCCGGAUUACCAGCACGAUACACAGAUCCGCAAACUAAAUUGUAUUAUGCCACCGCUGAAGAAUUUGCAACGGUUCGCAGUUUGCCGAUGGAUAUAACAGCUGGAUAUUUGGCAUUACGUGGAGCGUCUAGUAUCGUUGGUUAAAAUUCGGACGAUGUGGCCUUGCAUUCACGUCGUACAUCAUGGUCCAUGUACAGUCCAGUAACGCAACAUUCAGGGCCAACACAAAUUCGUCAAGAGACAAAUGAAUCAGUUUAAUAGAGAAAAAACUAUGUAAUAAACCUAUAAAUAAUCAAAGAGCAAACAUGUGAGUAAAAAGAUUUCUAAUCUGAUGAAACUUAAAUCUUUUAUGUCAUACAUAAAGAUAUAUAAGAGCUGAGUUCCGAUAUUCACUGCCAGUACUAAAAAUCUAUAGUUUAUGUCAGAUAUACUGUAGAUUUUCAGUACUAACAGUAAGUAUCGAAACCCAGAUAACUAAGUAUGAUAUAGCAUUUUGAGCAAACUAAUGCAUUGCAUGUGUUAUAGAUUUACUAUACAUAUGUUGACAUCGAAAUAAAACACAUUACGAAUUCAGCAACAUGAUUACUUAUACAGGCAAUCAGUUGAGGACAUUUAAAAAAGGAAAUGUUAGCAAUAAUAAUACAUUAUAUUGUUUGCAAUAUAACAGCAACAUGACAAUAACAAAUGAUUGAUAACAAAUUAAUGACAUAUUGCUACCAAUUUGCCAUUGUUAAAAAUAGAAUUCAUGAUUUGAACCUAACAGACAUAAUGCUGUUUCAAUUUGUUCAGAGUUUGUCUAAAUUAGUUACUGUAUGAUUGUUGGCAACAUAACUGCACCAUCAAGACAUUUGGAUAUCUCAGAAUGCAGCCAAGAUCAGCUAUUCGACCUGCAGUGGAACCACGACCUUGGUGCUGAAUGUAAUUUUCUUAUAAUUUUUACCACUUCCAGCUCAUCUAAACUACGCACCUACACUUUUAUCAGCCUUGAAACGUUCUAGCUAAAUAUCGGUGCUCGGAAGCAUUUAAAAUUUUUUCUUUUUUUUGUAUAUCCUUGUCCUUUCCUUCAUUCUUAUUAUUUUUGUAUUACUAUUCUUUAUUAGUGCGAGCAUUAACGAGUGUGCAAAAUAAAGUGUUGCCUCACAAUUUUCGCUGUA